rnacentral:rRNA from 1 species
UACGUAGGUGGCAAGCGUUGUCCGGAUUUAUUGGGCGUAAAGCGCUCGCAGGUGGUCCGAUACGUCGUGCGUGAAAGCCCCCGGCUCAACUGGGGAGUGUCGUGCGAUACGGUCGGACUGGAGGCCAGUAGGGGGAUGCGGAAUUCCGGGUGUAGUGGUGGAAUGCGUAGAGAUCCGGAGGAACACCAGCGGCGAAGGCGGCAUCCUGGACUGGUCCUGACACUCAUGAGCGAAAGCGUGGGGAGCGAGUCCGG